AGGAGCAUGUGGUUAAUUCGAUGAUACGCGAGGAACCUUACCUGGGCUCGAACGUAAGAUGACUGUAGGUGAAAGCUUACAUCUCUUCGGAGCAUUUUACGAGGUGCUGCAUGGUUGUCGUCAGCUCGUGCCGUGAGGUGUCGGGUUAAGUCCCAUAACGAGCGCAACCCCUACCUUUAGUUGCCAUCAGGUUAAGCUGGGGACUCUAAAGGAACUGCCUACGCAAGUAGUGAGGAAGGCGGGGAUGACGUCAAAUCAGCACGGCCCUUACGUCCAGGGCUACACACGUGCUACAAUGGCCGAUACAGAGGGCAGCUACCUGGUGACAGGAUGCAAAUCUCCAAAGUCGGUCUCAGUUCGGAUCGGAGUCUGCAACCCGACUCCGUGAAGUUGGAUUCGCUAGUAAUCGCGCAUCAGCCAUGGCGCGGUGAAUACGUUCCCGGGCCUU
rnacentral:rRNA from 1 species